GCGGUCGCGCGUGUCGUUGGUGAAAUCUCCCUGCUCAACGGGGAGGGGUCCAACGAAACUGCGCGGCUGGAGGGCCGGAGAGGGAGGCGGAACUUCCGGAGUAGCGGUGAAAUGCGUAGAUACCGGAAGGUACCUCAAUAGCGAAGGCAGCCUCCUGGCCGGUUCCUGACGCUGAGGCACGAAAGCGUGGGGAGCAAACCGGAUUAGAUACCCGGGUAGUCCACGCCCUAAACGAUGCCGACUAGGUGUUGCUGAAUGCUGGGCCAGUGCCGCAGCUCACGCGGUAAGUCAGCCGCCUGGGGAGUACGGCCGCAAGGUUGAAACUCAAGGGAAUUGACGGGAGCCCGCACAAGCGGUGGAGCACGUGGUUCAAUUCGAUGGUAAGCGAAGAACCUUACCAGGGCUUGACAUGCCCGUGUAGGACCCCGAAAGGGGAACGAGGGGAAAUCGCAGCGGGCACAGGUGCUGCAUGGCUGUCGUCAGCUCGUGCCGUGGGGCGUCGGGUUAAGUCCCAUAACGAGCGCAACCCCUACCCCUAGUUGCCACCAGGUCCCUGGGCACUCUAGGGGAACUGCCGGUGAAUAGCCGGAGGAAGGAGGGGAUGACGUCAAGUCAGCAUGGCCCUUAUGCCCUGGGCGACACACGUGCUACAAUGGGCGGUACAAAGGGUCGCGAACCCGCAAGGGGGAGCCAAUCCCAAAAAACCGCCCUCAGUUCGGAUUGAGGUCUGCAACCCGACCUCAUGAAGCC
rnacentral:rRNA from 1 species